rnacentral:rRNA from 1 species
GGGAUCCUACGGGGCGCAGUAGGGAAUCUUCCACAAUGGACGAAAGUCUGAUGGAGCAACGCCGCGUGAGUGAAGAAGGGUUUCGGCUCGUAAAGCUUUGUUGGUAGUGAAGAAAGAUAGAGGUAGUAACUGGCCUUUAUUUGACGGUAAUUACUUAGAAAGUCACGGCUAACUACGUGCCAGCAGCCGCGGUAAUACGUAGGUGGCAAGCGUUGUCCGGAUUUAUUGGGCGUAAAGCGAGUGCAAGCGGUUCAAUAAGUCUGAUGUGAAAGCCUUCGGCUCAACCGGAGAAUUGCAUCAGAAAA